UAGGGAAUAUUGGACAAUGGGGGCAACCCUGAUCCAGCCAUGCCGCGUGAGUGAAGAAGGCCCUCGGGUUGUAAAGCUCUUUUGUCCGGAAAGAAAAGCUUCGGGUUAAUACCCCGGGGUUCUGACGGUACCGGAAGAAUAAGCACCGGCUAACUUCGUGCAGCAGCCGCGGUAAUACGAAGGGUGCAAGCGUUACUCGGAAUUACUGGGCGUAAAGCGUGCGUAGGUGGUUGUUUAAGUCUGAUGUGAAAGCCCUGGGCUCAACCUGGGAAUGGCAUUGGAAACUGGGCAGCUAGAGUGCGGUAGAGGGUAGUGGAAUUCCCGGUGUAGCAGUGAAAUGCGUAGAGAUCGGGAGGAACAUCUGUGGCGAAGGCGACUGCCUGGACCAGCACUGACACUGAGGCACGAAAGCGUGGGGAGCAAACA
rnacentral:rRNA from 1 species